rnacentral:rRNA from 1 species
CUACGGGUUGCAGCAGUGAGGAAUAUUGCACAAUGGGGGGAACCCUGAUGCAGCAACGCCGCGUGGAGGAUGACGCAUUUCGGUGUGUAAACUCCUUUUAUAUGUCAAGAAAAUGACGGUAGCAUAUGAAUAAGCACCGGCUAACUCCGUGCCAGCAGCCGCGGUAAUACGGAGGGUGCAAGCGUUACUCGGAAUCACUGGGCGUAAAGGACGCGUAGGCGGGUUGGAAAGUCAGGUGUGAAAUCCUACAGCUUAACUGUAGAACUGCACUUGAAACUUCUAAUCUAGAGGAUGGGAGGGGGAGAUGGAAUUAGUGGUGUAGGGGUAAAAUCCGUAGAUAUCACUAGGAAUACCUAAAGCGAAGGCGAUCUCCUGGAACAUUACUGACGCUAAGGCGUGGAAGCGUGGGGAGCAAACAGGAUUAGAUACCCCUGUAGUC